AGGAAGAUCUUCCUGUUUAAAUCAACGGCAUUAGGCUUCCUGUCGAUACCUUAACACUUUGAGUUCGACAAAGAAGUGUGCUCAUGGCAGUGAAAAUGCAGGGGAAUACAGAGCAUGGAAUUGUAGCGGAAAAAGAAAAGCAGACAAGGUGAGCAAUUUCAGUGUGGCAAGGUAGCGCCGAUGGACGCUUAGCAAAGGGGACGCAUGUGAUAUGCUCAUAAUUUUGGUUCUGAAUUCC